UGUAUCCACUUAAAUGAAUCACCUGGUAUAUAUGCAUGAAGUUCAAAAUAAAUACGAUUAUAGACUUGAUUUGGUUUUACACCUAUACACGUUUCGGGGUGGUCAAUUAUUCAUGCCCUGGCUGAUGGGAAGACGCCAAUAAUGUUGAUAAUAUUAUAUUAGAGAAUAUAUAGUUGGAAUUUAAAAUAAACUAUAUUAGUUUCGAAAACCUUUUUUUUUUCGAGCGAGCCAUGCCGGUUGGCAACAAAGAUAUGUUAUUAAAAAAAAAAAAAUUGAAAUAAUAUGGAACCAUGUGUAUG